AAUCGUCUCCAUCAUGGCCUUGAGGCUGGUGGUGUUGUCGUCCAUGGCCGCCAGCAACUGCCGGGUCUGGACGGAGGGCUUGGACGGUGCCGUCUCGCACCCCUGCUAGAUCGAACCCCGCCGGGGAUUUUGCGUGAUCUCGCCGGAGCAAGUCACACCCGAGGCAGUGGAUGUUACCGAUCCAAAUCAGGAGGCAGCAGCGAAAAAAAUUUGGGGCAGGAUCGGAGGCUCUGAUUACCAAUUGUAACGCCCCGAUCUGGUUGAGGGGGGACCAGAGUAGGCUGGAUCGGAUCGAGAGAGGGGAGGGGGAGAAGCUUGGAGAAGGGGAUGAGCAGAGGAGAGGGUAGGUGAGGGAAUUAGUUCAUUUCUUUCAGCAUACUGAUACACGCCCCUGUCCAAAGCUUAAGUACCCACGCACGCCAACUGGCCCGGGCCCUAUGCGGCAACAGGUGGGACCACACACGCUUACACUUGGCAUGCCAACUGGCAGUCACACGGUGGUAUGCAGCACCGGGGUGACAGGCUGCCGGCCAAGAAGGAAGAGGCUAGCGAGGACCGGAGGAGGAGGCGCUCAUGGUGGAGCACAAGAGGACGGAGGCAGAGUGCUACUGCAGCGGCUGUGGGACUGAGCGAAAGGAGUCACACGGUCGCGUGGGAUGUGAGUUUUUGAAUUUAAGAGCUGGAAACUCCACAACUUGAGCAAAUUAUUGUUAGUGGUCGCUUGUUUGCUUGACACAUAACAUUACUAGAUCCCUCACUCUAUACGGUUGAUUGUUAAUUGUGUGCUUUUUUGUCCAUAAUUUUGCUCCUGUAAUUAAUCAUUUCCCUGUCCAUUGUAGGAAAUUAUUGUUUACUUCAGAUUGGGGUGCUCGAGCCAAUGAAAAAAGAUCACUGCAGCUUUGAAUGUAGGCGCAAGUCAAAUGAAACUAUUGGAUGGAGCAAUUCAGUGCGAUGGGGUACAUGGGCUGGUGCAGGAGGAUACAUAGCAGCAGAGUUCAUCUCUGUUUUGCUGACAAUUCACACUGAAACUGCUGAAAAGUAGAUAAUCAGCCAAUAAACAGUAAAUCAUCACAUCUAUUUGCUUUUCUGGUAUAUGGGGCCAUUAUUAUUCCGGUACUUCUAAAGAGUCAUUAUUCUUAUGGUACUUUUAAAUUUGCAUAUCUUUGUGUUCAGAUGGAAGACACCUGGCAAAGGUCUAACGUUUCAAAUUUAAUGUUAUAUACAUGCCUAAUAGUAAUACAUUAUAUAAUAUACUCUCUAGGCCGUAUUCUUAUUUAGUUUUUUUUCAUGCUUCUUGUUUCACUAGGCUAUUGUAAAGACAACAUACCCACUUGGAUAAUAUUUUGAUAACAAUAAGAUGUUAUCUAGCUAUUUUUACAAAAUAAUAUCAAUUAACUUGCAUCGGUUCAAUGCUAGAGCCGUAGUCAUGAAACAUUGCCACUGCGCCACAAAGCGAUUAAAAUCAUGGAAAUUGAUAUAAAAGUUACUUGUCAUUUCUAUAGUCUUGUAAUCACAAACCAUAAUGAUAAAAAAGCCAAAUCAUUUAUUUUAUUGGAGAACACAUCAAUAUAUGGAGAAUCAAAGGUGAAUGUAAAUGAAACGCUCCCUGUAUGUUUAGACUCCAGUAUAAGAUUAAAAUAGUGGAUAAAUCAUUGUGCCAUGUUCAAUUAGAACUACAAUAAGAAGACAAAUGAUUGACUAGCAAAUUCUGACCGGCCAAUUUCGUCGGGCACCGUCAUGGGAGGAGGCGAACCAUCGAGGAGCAGCAUGGGAGGAGAUGAAAAUAAGCCACUGGACUCCUUGUUCACUUCUGGUUGCAUCUUGCCCGUGAGCUCCUUCUUACAGCUAACUUGGCCCUUUCCUUGUCAUGUUUUGGGUGUUCCUUCCUACAGCCAUCUUGGCCAUUAGCUUUGGAAGGAGUAAUUCAACUCUGAAAGUAUAAAUAAUUUGAGACUGCUUCUGUCUUCCCUAUAAUCUGUUAAGGUCAUCAUUCUUUUUUCUUUUUUCCUGUAGUUUUUCGUCAUCUUUUACAGUGUAUUUGGGUUAUAUCUUUCUCUGAUACUUGGGCAUAUUGGUUGUCUUGUUGUCUCCUUUUACUAGAAGCAUUUCCUAUUCAGUGUAUGGGAGAGGUUACUAGCUCACAUAUAUAGUUUAGUUAUUAAGUUUCUAAAUAAGUUCAGUCUCAGAGCUCGGAUUUUGUACGCUUCAAAAUUGGAGUGUGACUUUUGCUUGCUGAUUGAUUCAGUUAUGGUGUGGUUGCCUACUACUCAAAAUGAUUUUAUAUCGUAUCAUAACUUUCAGGAACCGUAUCACAAUGGAUCAUUAGCAUUGCAGCUUUAGGGACAUGUAUGCUGCAUAUUCCAUCACUGAACAAGAUUGGAUUUCAGUGUAUACAAACCAUCCUACUCGCUGCCCUCCUCAGCUACUCAGAUAGUUCUUCCUUCUCAUUAUCAGUGAAUAAGUUGGUUACAUGACAUGCUUGAAGAUUGUAGUACAUAGAGAUUGCCUGGCAGACUAAAAUAAUUAGGAGCUUCUGAUUGGACCCUUCAAGCAAUAGUGUUGUCAAUAUAUUAAUUGUUGGAUUAUGUUACUAUACUAUUAGAAGAACUUCCUAAUAUAUGUAUUUAUAGGAUUCUCUGAUAUUUGAUGCAAAAUAUUGAUGGGUGGGUGAAUGCAGUGGACUCUUGGAGAUCUUGGGCACCAACGGCAUGUGCCGACGGCGUCCAUCGACAACCUGCCCAAUGUCCGGAUUCACCGAGGAGUACAACUGGAGACACUAUCGGUUGCCUGCAGGCCUUACUGCAGCCGGUUAUCUACAGAGGAAGGCAAGGACAACUAGAUUAUACAUUUCACAAGAUCCUCCCAAUUACAGGCAGAAACUCCUUUCAAGAUAUUACGAGUGUGGUUGAUUAUCGAAUACUGUCAGAUGGAAAGAAGGUGUAUCCUUUAUCUUUAUUUAGAUGUUUAAUUAGCUGCACAACCGUACAUGAUUCUGUAAGGAAACUAUUUAUCUUGAUGAUCCUGAUAUCCAGUCGUGUAUUAGUAUAGGCUGUAUUUUUUGGCUAGGAAUCUAUAUAUGCAACCAUGAAUGAAUAGGCUAUGAUUCUUUUUUCCUUCUGAAUAGAUUCUUUUUUGUUCAUUCCCUGUGAAAUAAUUCCAGAGCUACUAUGUUAUAGUAAUUAUUUGGCACAUCCAUAACUCAACCAGUUUAUGCAUGAUUAUUUAGUGUGUAUUUGGUUCCAAAGUGAACAAACUAUUGGCCUUCGCUAGGCAAGGAUAGGUGUUUGGUACCAAAACAAAAAAUUAACUUUGUCAAGCUAACUAGCAUGCAUGGGUUUGAAUCAUCUACUUCUUAUAUCUCUGGACUAUAGAUAUUACAUGCAUCAGUACUUGAUGCAUCUCUGAUAACUUUUUGCUAAUAUCAUUGAAUUUCUCCUGAGAUCUCUCUAGACAUUUCCAAAUGUAUUUUAGUUCAGUGUUUGUAUUAACUAGCAGAAGAAGGGAUGCAAAUGGAAAGAAUUUGAGAUGCAUAAACAUGAAAGCACUAAAAGAUUUUCUCAAAGCAAAGAUGUCUAACCGGGAUACAUAUGGCAAGAACCUUCAGAUUGACUUAUUUUCAGCUGCUAUUGAGAUAUAUACUUGAUCAUAGGUCACAACUCAUGAAUUUACCUCCUUUUGGUUUUGAUUUUGAAAUAUAUGUGUCAUAGGUCACAACUGAUGAAGUUACUUCCUUUUGGUGAAGGUCUGAAUAUUGUCAUGAUCUUGGCUGAGAAGCUCACAUUUCGGAAGGUUCUUGUGUGUAUAAUUAGUUGAUAGGAUGACAAUUUAAGUUUAUUGAAGCUCUUCAUUAGGAGGCAGGGGUCUGCUUUGGUUUCUUGCUAUUUGCCUUUCUCUCAAAGUACUGGACCGAAUGCAUCUGAUAGUUUAUAAAUCAAUAAUUUGCAUGGUUCUACUUUUUAAAUUUAUAACUCUUAGUCUUUUCACUUAGAAAUAAUGCGAGUUAUUUUUUAGGGGAAAAUAGCUUUUGUUCACUUAAUAAAUCAUGUUCAUUAUAAUUAGUGCUGCUUGACCAGAAGGUAGUGUCUCGUGCUGGGUAGCAUCCAUGUUGAUAUUUCUUGAUCAUAUAAUCUUAUAUCCUAUAUGUGCAAAUCAGGCCUUUAGGCUACUAGAAUUUCACUAUUGUUUAAUUUAGGAAAAGUUGAUUGAUCCAUUAUCAAGGGCAGCAUGAAUUAUAUGUGAUUCAACACCUUUAUUAAGUUUCCGUUCUUCUUUUAGCUUAUUAGUUGCGACCUAAGAUAGUACCAAGCAUGAUCUUUGGUUUGCCAUGUACAACACCACGGAGUCAUUUUAUUAAGCUGGCAUUAGUAAUUUUGCAUUUUACAUGGUUCAUGUGCAAGUUAAAUGUCUGUCCAAUAAUACUAAUAUUAAGUUUAUAAUGUUAGCAUAGCCUGUUAUUGCCGUUAUCUUCUUGGGAGUACUUGAGAAGGCGUGGCUGGGAAUGUGGGGACACGCCAUGGGAGAGGUGCGUGGUCGGCAGGAGUCAUGGAGGCAUGAAGGUGGACAUGUGGAUCUUAUCAUGGCAUUGAUACAUUUCAUUGCACCGAUGCUGCAUACCAAGUUGAGUGAAUGCCAUCGUGUCCUUAGAUGCCCUGUCUAAUUCUUGCUUGAAUUUCUGGUUUUGUAUGCUCAGAUGUAUGUUCAGUUUCCACAUUAUUUUUCUCAUGUGGAGUUGAAACCACAUUUGAUUGGUCCAAUAGCAAAUAAUGGUAAGUUUCACUCUGAAAUCAUAUUGCAUAUAGAGAUAUGUUCAUUGUUAGUCAUUGGGUUGUGGUAUGAAAUGACAGGUUUUAUAGUCAGUUUACUGUGUCAUCUAUUUAGAAUGAAGCAAAUUUGGGCCUCUAAAAAACUACCAGGUCGACACAGGGACGGUAAUUUUCCUGUGUUUUCCUCUUGUUAAUUUUGAAAUACCUUUGACAGGAAAAUGUUUCUUGUUUUUGUCUAACCA